CUGGAGUUGUAGCUGGCCCUUAAAAACGGCAUGUGCACGCUCCUUUCACUAAUCCACACACACCUGUGCACCUUCGCGGGGGUCUUCUUUUCGGAGAAGGCUCGCGUCCCUUUACACACCCUUUGUAUGUCUUAAGAAUGUCUACUCGAUGUAAUAAAACGCAUCUAAUACAACUUUCAACAACGGAUCUCUUGGCUCUCGCAUCGAUGAAGAACGCAGCGAAAUGCGAUAAGUAAUGUGAAUUGCAGAAUUCAGUGAAUCAUCGAAUCUUUGAACGCACCUUGCGCCCUUUGGUAUUCCGAAGGGCACACCUGUUUGAGUGUCGUGAAAUUCUCAACCCUCUUCAUUUUUUUAUGAAUGAAGCAGUGGCUUGGACUUGGAGGUUUUUUUGCCGGGCCUCACCGCUCGGCUCCUCUCAAAUGCAUUAGUGCGUCUUGUUGCGACGUGCGCCUCGGUGUGAUAAUUAUCUACGCUGUGGUGUGCUUGCUUCUGUGGAGACGCGCUUUCUAACCGUCCGAAAGGACAGCUUUCAUCGAACUUUGACCUCAAAUCAGGUGGGACUACCCGCUGAACUUAAGCAUAUCAAUAAGCGGAGGAAAAGAAACUAACAAGGAUUCCCCUAGUAACUGCGAGUGAAGCGGGAAAAGCUCAAAUUUAAAAUCUGGCGGUCUUCUGGCCGUCCGAGUUGUAGUCUGGAGAAGCGUUUUCCGCGUUGGACCGUGUACAAGUUUCCUGGAACGGAGCGUCAUAGAGGGUGAGAAUCCCGUCUUUGACACGGAUCNCCAAUGCUUUGUGAUGCGCUCUCAAAGAGU
rnacentral:rRNA from 1 species